UACGGAGGAUGCGAGCGUUAUCCGGAUUUAUUGGGUUUAAAGGGUGCGUAGGCGGCUUAUUAAGUCAGCGGUGAAAUUUUGCAGCUUAACUGUAACAGUGCCGUUGAUACUGCCAGGCUAGGAUUUGGUUGCUGUGGGUGGAAUGUGUGGUGUAGCGGUGAAAUGCUUAGAUAUCACACAGAAUAUCGAUUGCGAAGGCAGCUCACAAAGCCAAGAUUGACGCUGAGGCACGAAAGUGUGGGGAGUCAAACAGGA
rnacentral:rRNA from 1 species